AUUUGUUUUCCUAUCUUACAUCCAUGCAUUCACAUAUUAGAGGAUAAAUAUGUUGCAGGCUCUUAUCUACAUGCAUGAAUGUUAAAUCUGUAUCCAAUGGUAAAGUUGGCUUUAUCAGGAAAAAGGAUCAUGGAAUAACAUGCGAGGUGUAUAUUGUUGUUAGCAUCUGCUUAUUUUGAUGCAUUCUAUUUGCAUACAUAUACCAAGUUUUUCGUCAAAUACAUAUAUUGCAGGACAAUGGAUGAUCGAGUAGCACUCAAGAUGGCAAGGUGGUUGAGAUUUACGAACUGUUGUAUCUUGAGGACUCAUGAUGCAGUUGUAUGUUGAUACAUGUAGAUUUAUGACUAUUGCCAUAUCAUCCAGUGUAUCUAUCUAUCUAUGUCUCCUUAACUUCAACAUAUUUACCUUGAAUAAUUAUGGUUUAA